CCUGGUGGCUCAGUAAGUAAAGAAUUUGCCUGCAAUGCAUGAGACCCAGGUUCGAUUCCUGGGUCAGGA
rnacentral:tRNA from 1 species